rnacentral:rRNA from 1 species
GACGAACGCUGGCGGCGUGCUUAACACAUGCCAGUCGAGCGCAAAGGCCCUGUUUUUGUAGGGUGCUCGAGUGGCGAACAGGUGAGUAUCACGUGAGUAACCUGCCCUUGACUGUGGGAUACCUCCAGUGAACUGGGGCUCAUACCCGAUAUAAGAUCCUGCUACAUGGUGUUGGUUGGUAAAAUUCGGCGGUUGGGGAUGGACUGGCGGCCUAUCAGCUUGUUGGUGGGGUAGUGGGUUAAAGAGGCUUUGACGGGUAGCCGGCCUGCGAGGGUGACCGGCCACAAUGGGACAGAGGUAGCAGCCAGACGGCUACGGGAGGAAGGAGUGGAGAAUAGUGCAAAAAGGGCGGAAGCCUGAUGCAGCAACGCCGCGUGGGGGAUGACGGCCUUCGGGUUGUAACGCGGGUUCGACUGUGAAGAAGCGCGAGUGACGGUAACGGGUAAAGAAGCAACGGCUAACUACGUG